rnacentral:rRNA from 1 species
GACAAACGCUGGCGGCGUGCUUAACACAUGCAAGUCGAACGGGGUUAAGGAGCUUGCUUCUUAACUUAGUGGCGAACGGGUGAGUAACGCGUGAGGAACCUGCCUCUCAGUGGGGGACAACAGUUGGAAACGACUGCUAAUACCGCAUAAAACCGUAGUACCGCAUGGUACAUCGGUCAAAGAUUUAUUGCUGAGAGAUGGCCUCGCGUCUGAUUAGCUAGUUGGUGGGGUAACGGCCCACCAAGGCGACGAUCAGUAGCCGGACUGAGAGGUUGACCGGCCACAGUGGGACUGAGAUACGGCCCAGACUCCUACGGGAGGCAGCAGUGGGGAAUAUUGGGCAAUGGGCGAAAGCCUGACCCAGCAACGCCGCGUGAAGGAAGAAGGCCUUCGGGUUGUAAACUUCUUUUACCAGGGACGAACACAAUGACGGUACCUGGAGAAAAAGCAACGGCUAACUACGUGCCAGCCGCCGCGGUAACAC